AAAUUUCCAGUCCCUGCUCUUCCUUCUUUGAACAUAAAAAUCAAUAGUGAUUGCUAAUGGGGUGCCGACAAAGCAGGAAUCGUGGCUGUUUGUCGCCGUCACGACGGUGCACAGUUAGCCACUACUAUGAUGAUUUGGACACCAGCAGUAGUUGCUAUCGUUCACAGUCGCCACGCUUCAGAGAGCUUGGCCUCUGUGGUAGCAGCCAUCGGUGUCGGGAACGAAGUCGCAGUCGUCACUGCUGCCUGCGACGAGGAUCUAACCACAGCUGCUGUUGCAGCCGUGUUUCCUCAUGCUGUUCCAGGCGACGCUGUUACCCCACACAUGAGGUAGUAUGUCCGACAACUCCCGUCAGGCAGUUGGUUAACUGCAACACGCGAACCAAGCAAAGCUGCUUCAGCUGUCCUGGAUACGGAUGUUGCAGACGGCCUACGCAUUGCGGAACAGGAUGUCACCGAGAAGCUUAUCCCGUGCCUAACCUCCCGAGGAACAACUUAGUAUAUCAUCACCCCCUGGGCCCGCGGUGCGAACCCUUGAAUCCCUGUCAGUCUUCCUGCCAUGUUAUCAAUAACGACUGCUCAGACGUCUAUGUAUGCCCGCCUAGGGGCAACCGGAAUCGGGGAUGUUCGCCAUCGGCAAUGCAUCGAGGAGGUAAAAUGAUGAAUGUAGCCAUCCACACUCAUGUGGACUACGAUUGCGAACGGGGCUGUUCCCCUCGAAAGAGGUCCUGUUGUAAGCCUGCCUGUUGUAAGCCUGCAUGUUGUAAGCCUGCAUGUUGUAAGCCUAUCUGUCAUCCAUAUGGGCCCAGAUGUCGAUCGUCAUCCAGAUCGCAAUCCUGCGAAUCCUCGGUAAUUGACCUCACCUGCUGCCGAAGUGAUGGUUCGCACUGCCCGUAAUAGAGAAACGCUAAACCUUACAAGCCAUGGAUGAUGGAGACUUUGACAACGACGAUGUUGGUGGCGAC